rnacentral:lncRNA from 1 species
UCUAUAUUUAUAUUUUCUAUGUACAAAAAUAAUACAAAAAAAGACAAAAAGUGCUAAAUCCUACUAGAAUGCAUGUUUUUUAGUGAUUGAAGGAUAACACAUUAGUUCCAAGUUGGCAGGAGGAAACACACACACACAACUGAAAAUGAAUGAGGCAGCAUGACUUGGGGUAAGAUUUCAUUCCACUUUGAUGAUACAAAGACUUCACCACAACUUAGAAGAAGCUUUAUCAUUGGUUGAGGUCUAAGACCAGCUGCAUGAAAUUCUCAUUUUCUCUGGUUACCAUGGAAAUAUUUCUUCAGUACUGACUAGUUACUAAAUGCAGAUCCCCACAGCAGGGCUGUAAAGGAGAAACUAUACCCAUCAUCUAAGUAUCCAGUCUGCCAACCAUCCAAAAGGGACCACAUCAGCAGCAACAGUAGCAGCAGAGAGCUUUUACACAAGAACUACAUUUCACAGAGAUAAUACAGCAAGAACUCGGUUGUAAUAAUAAAAGACACUUUUCAGGAAAUUUUCAGUAAGUAGCUGAUGAGAAUCAGAAAUCCCCCAUAAGUUAACAGAUAUCACUUGGAUGUUUCUCGAUUGCUCAUAUGCAAUUGCAUAUAAUCUAUGCCAUAAGAAGGUCAUAUGUCAACAUACGAAAACAGGUUGCUAUUACCUCAUACAUCAACAAAAAGCAGAAUUUACAGUGCCACCGGUUAUCAAUGUACAGAAAUUCCUGCAAGACCAAAAUCUUAUGUAAUGAAGAGCUGAGAUCUGAUAAGGAAACAUAUGAGGGAGGAUAAGUUUUCACGAAGACAACUCAGACCUAUUAUGCAUCUCUCAGCCAGACACAGUGUGUGACUAGGUUGGCCCAUUCAAUUACAAGCAUUGCUCAUCCAACAGUUUUCACAGUUUCCAUCCACCCAAUUUCACUCACAAGACUUGAGCUGAAUCAAGAUUAUGAUAAAAAAAACAUUUGCCACCAGGACUUCAUGGCUACAACACACUUCUUAACCACUCGGCCAUGCCUUAUUUAUAUAAAUCAAAGAUUAACUGCCCCAUAUAGAUUAGUAAUAAGUGACUUCGGAAUAAGAGUUAAAUGA